GCUCAGCAAGUUAAUAACUAAACCCAACCCUCAAGUCUGUUGGCAAAGGGCAUAUUUAAGCUUAAUGAUGCUGUAUCCACCCAGAAAGAUAAACGAGGCUUUGAUAAUCCUGCUCUGUCGAGUGGGGAGAGGAAAAUGACUCAUGAGCCACCUGGGACACAGAAUGAGUGGCCUGCAUUGCACAUAUUUUGGAAGAGCUUCGGUUACUGACUUCAAUCAAGUUGAGGAUUUCAAGCGAGAUCUUCAAUCAAGCGAAUCCCAUCUAACAUGGACUGGAUACAAUCCAUUCAAGACUUUCACUAUACUAACAUUUUCUUCCUACAGGACCCCACAAGGCUAUUGUCCCAUUUCAGCAGGAAGUAACUUGGAGGAUGCUACUCCCCCUUUCCCCAUUGUUGUCAUUUAGGAUACUGUAUAUACCUAGUUAGGGAUAGCUUCCUAUUGUUUAUGAUUGGGAUUGGAAGGAGGUGUUCAGGCUUGGACACCUCUUUCAGAUGACUUUAGGGUUUAGUUAAAACAGAUAGUUAGGAUGUGACAUAAGCAGAUUGUUGUGUCUUCUUAUAUUUCACCUUUAUUAUUGUUAAUUUUGGAUACUUUACUCUGUUAAGUUUUAAUCCUCUUUUAGACUAAAAGGGGAAUUGUAGGGGAACCUGUAGCCAUGUCUGCUUAGGGGCUGGCUACAGGUCUGCCUAACCACUCUUGUGAGGGUGUGGUCAGGGUGACAUAGAGUGAGAGGUUCAAGGCUGUGUUUCACUUUCUUUUUCCCCUUCAGCUUGCUGUACAGACUGCUGCCAUGCCAGCUGGCUAGGUCGCUCUGUAAUGCUGACAUAAAUGCUACUGGAAGGAAUAAAUCACCAUGUGUUGUCAAAGCUUGUGUUCCUCGGACUCAGCAGCUCCUGGGACAUCCAGAUUCUUGUCUUUGGCUGUUCCUCUAUACUUUGUAUGGCAAGCAUGAUGGGAAAUUCCCUGAUUCUUUUGACCCUGGCUUCACAUAUUCACUUACACCCUCCAUGAACUUUCUGUUGUAUAUUAAUAGACCUAUAUGAUAUUAAGAAAAGUUAUAUAAGUUCAUUUUUACUCUAACAUCAAAGCCAAACUAAAGGCUAACGGCCCAAUGAAAAAGGGAUGAGAACCAUUUAGUACUGAGGAAUGAACUUUAAAAUAAAAGUGAAGUAUCACUCCCAAAAGAGCUGAAAAAUUCCAAGGUCAAUUUAAAGUGUAAAAUAAGAUACAAUUGUUUAAAAGAGAGAGAUGAGGGGAUUUUGUUUUUUAUAGUGUGGACUCAUUUUAUCUCACUUAUUAG
rnacentral:lncRNA from 1 species